AUUUAAGUGUAACUUAUGACUUCCAUAUAUGCUUGGUUGUUUUUAUUGAGGAAAUUGGAUUUCACAAAAAAAUAUUGAAUAUCAUUUUGAGAAAGUACUAGUUUUGCACUUUGUAAUGCAAAUAUUGUAGCGUGUAGAAUUAACUUUUGAGCUUGAAUCUGGAGAAUAUGUAUCACAACUGCAGGUAUUUUUCUCAUUGUUACUUUUUAGUUCUAUUCAUUCCCUUAGUUAGAUAAUAGAACAAAUUCUAUUAAAAGACCUAGUUUUUUAUCCAUGUUUAUUUUUACAGUGCACACUUGAAGACUGAAGUCAUAAUGGAAAAGGUUGUGCUGUGAUAACAAUUUGGAAAAAGCAGGCAUGUUCAUUCUUCUCACAGACAUGUUUGCUAUUAUGGCCAUUCGUUUCUUUGUUUUGUUUUUUUACCGUUCCUUCUUAUAUUUCUAAUGAAAUUACUUGUUGCAGAUCGUUAAACAUGCAUGGGAUAAAUUUACAUAAGAAAUUUCAUUAAGUUUCAAAGACAAAGCUAUCUCCCUUGUCAAGGUAUCUCUGUGUCUUAUUUUCCUUGUGGUUUUUCUAAAUCUCUUAAAAAAAAAAGCUGGUCUCAUCCGUGUUAUAGUUGUUUAUUGAAAAUAUACCGCCAUCUCAUACAAAUUUGUUAUUAUUACCAUGAUUUUGAUUUUUUCCAGUUUAAUUUUGUUUGAUUGCUUUCAUCUAUCCUCUUUACCAAAAAUGCACAGCCAUACUUCUACUAACAUUUCACAAAUGCUGUGUAGGCAUUAUUAUUUGUCGCCGCUGAAGUUGAAUUUUGUAGGUUCUUCUAAAAUCUUUCUUCUUUAAUGCCUUCCAUCAUAAGUUACACAUUCAUCUUGUUUUAUGUUAGAAACAUUAUUUCUCUUAACUCUUAAGUAAAUUACUCUUUGUAUGUUCCUCUACUUGUUUAUCGGUUUUGGUGCUUUUGUAAUUUGUCAUAUCCUGCU
rnacentral:lncRNA from 1 species